rnacentral:rRNA from 1 species
GCCUCCUACGGGACGCAGCAGUGGGGAAUAUUGGGCAAUGGGCGCAAGCCUGACCCAGCAACGCCGCGUGAAGGAAGAAGGCUUUCGGGUUGUAAACUUCUCUUGACAGGGAAGAGUAGAAGACGGUACCUGCCGAAUAAGCCACGGCUAACUCCGUGCCAGCAGCCGCGGUAAUACGGAGGGUGCGAGCGUUAAUCGGAAUUACUGGGCGUAAAGCGCUCGUAGGCGGUAUGUCAAGUCAAGGGUGAAAUCCCCGCGCUCAACGUGGGAACUGCCUUUGAAACUGGCAAACUGGAGUGUGUGAG